rnacentral:rRNA from 1 species
GACAGAGGCCCCAAGCGUUAGGCGGAAUCACUGGGCUUAAAGCGUGUGUAGGCGGACGCCUAAGUGUCUUGUGAAAUCCCACGGCUCACCCGUGGAACUGCUGGGCAUACUGGGCGUCUUGGGCCAACUAGGGGCAGCCGGAACAAGCGGUGGAGCAGUGAAAUGCGUAGAUAUCGCUUGGAACGCCGAAGGUGAAAACAGGCUGCUGGGGUUGCGCCGACGCUGAGACACGAAAGCCAGGGGAGCAAACGGG